AAGAGUAAAUAUCCAACAUAUGAGAGUUUGCAGAAUUAUCUUCGUCUACGUGGUCGUGAAGCAUACUUACAGAAAAGGGAUAUUGUAGAGAAGGAGGCGCCAGGACUAAUGAAGGAAGCUGAGAGGUUCUUGAUCUUGAGCAAUAUUGACCGAUUAUGGAAAGAACACUUGCAAGCACUUAAGUUUGUGCAGCAAGCUGUAGGUUUACGUGGAUAUGCACAGCGAGAUCCACUUAUAGAGUACAAACUUGAGGGGUAUAACCUCUUCUUGGAUAUGAUGGCACAGAUACGGAGAA
rnacentral:misc_RNA from 1 species